rnacentral:rRNA from 1 species
UACGGAAGGCAGCAGUGGGGAAUAUUGCACAAUGGGCGCAAGCCUGAUGCAGCCAUGCCGCGUGUAUGAAGAAGGGCCUUCGGGUUGUAAAGUACUUUCAGUCGUGAGGAAGGUGUUAAGGUUAAUAACCUUAGCAAUUGACGUUAGCGACAGAAGAAGCACCGGCUAACUCCGUGCCAGCAGCCGCGGUAAUACGGAGGGUGCGAGCGUUAAUCGGAAUUACUGGGCGUAAAGGGCACGCAGGCGGUUAAUAAGUUGGAUGUGAAAUCCCCGGGCUAACCUGGGAAUGGCAUUCAAGACUGGUUAGCUAGAGUCUUGUAGAGGGGGUAGAAUUCCAUGUGUAGCGGUGAAAUGCGUAGAGAUGUGGAGGAAUACCGGUGGCGAAGGCGGCCCCUGGGACAAAGACUGACGCUCAUGUGCGAAAGCGUGGGGAGCAAACAGGGAUUAGAUACC